rnacentral:rRNA from 1 species
UACGAGAGGCCCAAACAUUAUUCGGAAUUACUGGGCUUAAAGAGUUCGUAGGCGGCAUGAAAAGUAGGGUGUGAAAUCCCUCGGCUCAACCGAGGAAUUGCGCUCUAAACUGUCGUGCUAGAGGAAGCUAGAGGUGAGCGGAACUGAUGGUGGAGCGGUGAAAUGCGUUGAUAUCAUCAGGAACACCGGAGGCGAAGGCGGCUCACUGGGGCUUUUCUGACGCUGAGGAACGAAAGCCAGGGUAGCGAACGGGA